rnacentral:rRNA from 1 species
GGAGGGGUGCAAGCGUUAUUCGGAAUCACUGGGCGUAAAGAGCGCGUAGGCGGUUUCUAAAGUCAGAUGUGAAAGCCCGGGGCUCAACCCCGGAAGUGCAUUUGAAACUUAGGGACUUGAGUAUGGGAGAGGGAAGUGGAAUUCCUGGUGUAGCGGUGAAAUGCGUAGAUAUCAGGAGGAACACCGGUGGCGAAGGCGACUUCCUGGACCAAUACUGACGCUGAGGCGCGAAGGCGUGGGGAGCAAACAGGAUUAGAUACCCUGGUAGUCCACGCAGUAAACGUUGAACACUAGGUGUAGCGGGUAUUGACCCCUGCUGUGCCGCAGCUAACGCAUUAAGUGUUCCGCCUGGGGAGUACGGCCGCAAGGCUA